UGUCGAGGCGGCCAUAUUAGUCUUUCGUAAAAUCCGUGGGCUCAACCUACGGCUCGCGAAGGAAACGGUAUGGCUCGAGGGCGUAAGAGGUGCAUGGAACUCAUGGUGGAGGGGUGAAAUCCGUUGAUAUCAUGGGGAACACCAAAGGCGAAGGCAGUGCACUGGUACGUUCCUGACGCUCACACACGAAAGCCAGGGUAGCGAACGGGAUUAGAUACCCCGGUAGUCCUGGCCCUCAACGUUGCUCGCUCGUUUUACGGAGUAUCGACCCUCUGUGAGACUAAGCUAACGCGGUAAGCGAGCCGCCUGGGUAGUACGAUCGCAAGAUUAAA
rnacentral:rRNA from 1 species